GAGACAAAGACAUAGAAGUUGGGAUAGGGGCUGGAGAGAUAGAUAGCUCAGCGGUUAAGAGCACUGACUGCUCUUCCAAAGGUUCUGAGUUCAAUUCCCAGCAACCACCACAUGGUGACUCAGAACCAUCUGUAACGAGAUCUGACACCCUUUUCUGGAGUGUCUGAAGACAGCUAGAGUGUACUUACAUAUAAUAAAUGAAUAAAUCUUUAAAAAAAAAAAAAGAAGUAGGGAUAGAUCCAACCUUAGGAUCACAUGGACUGUUUGGGGAAUAAGGAGGUGAGAAUUGUCACCUGUGUGUUCCUGCCCCUCCCUAAGAUACCUGGGAUGGCUUGUGUGUAUGACCCUCAUACAUCCUCACCUCCAUGCUAGAUUAUUGGGAGCAAGAUAAUAUUUUCACAGAGGAGAAAAUAGGUCCAACAUUCUACCUGUAGGAGAAGUGUCUUCUUCAGACCUCUAGACUGGGGCUGGAGAGAUGGCUCAGUGGUUAAGAACACUCUCUGCUCUUCCAGAGCUCCUGAGUUCAAUUCCCAGCAAAUGCAUGGUGGCUCACAACCAUCUAUAAUGAGAUUUGGUGCUCUCUUCUGGACUGCAGGAUACAUUUAGGCAGAAUGCUGUAUACAUAAUAAAUAAAUCUUAAAACAAAACAAAACCUCUAGGUUGGUGAGAAGUUGUGCUAAUCCAUCAAGUCAUGCUGGGAGCUCCUCUGUUAAUGCACUGCAAUGCAGUAGGCACACGCACGCACACGCACGCACACACACGCACGCACACGCAUGAGAGUGGGUGGCCAGUAUGAGAACUCAAGCAAACUCAGGCUAUAAAUCCUUUAUAUUUUGAUCCAUGGAAAUAUCAGAGACACAAAGGGCACCAUGUAGAGGUCCUGAGGAGUGAGAAGAGACGGAGUCUGACAGCAGAUAGGCUUUUACCAGAUAGGCCUGAGUCUGCUCUGUGUGUGACUUGGGUGGUAAAAGGGUUUUGCUUUUUGUUUUUUGUAAUAAUUUUCUUGAAAUUUGAUUCACACAGCUCACCCAUUUAAAGUAAACACAUGAUUAUUUUAGUAUAUUUAGUUAUAUAUACAAGUAGUGCAAUUGUAACUGUCAUUGUGGCCAGUUUAAAAAUAUUCCAUCAUUACAAAGAAAACCCUGUGCUUCUAACAGUUAACUCUCUGUUCUCCCUCAGUCCCAACUUUUUUUUUUUUUUUUUUUAAAUUAAGUCUGGCUGGCCUAGAACUCAAUCUGUAGGCCAGGUUGGUCUACUUCACAAAGCUCUUAUCUGCAUCUGCCUUCCAAAUGCAGCAACUAAAGGCAUGUGUUACCACACCCAGCUAAAACUUAUUUUUAAUGCUGAAAAAUAGUCCAUUGUGUAGAUGUCCCAAGAUUUACUUAUCUAGUCAUCUGUUGAUGGAUAUCUGUGAUCCCACCCUUAGGCACCUAUAAAUCGGGCUAUUGUGAGCAGUCACAUUACAGAUUUCUGUGUAGACAUGUUUUCUGUUUUAUUGGAUGUAUGUCUAAAAGUGGUGGUGCUGGGUCAUAGGGUCAUUGUAUUUAACCUUUGAAGGAGCCACUAUACUUUCCCACAGUGGCUACUUUAUGUCUCAUUUUGACCAGCAGAGUAUGAGGGUCCUGUCAAGGCAUAUCCUUGUCAGAUGUUCAGUCUGUGUCCAUCCUCCUCACUAUAGCCACCACAGUGAGAAGAGUUGGCUCUUACUGUAGUUCUCAUUUACCUUUUGCUGGUAGCUGAGCAAGCUUCUUGGUUUCUUCUUGAGGAAACCUAAGUGCUACGGAAGACUGUCUAAUUUAUUUAGUUACCUGAUAGUCAUAUAGCAUUUGUUAUGUCUUAAAUGUUCUAUAGACAUUUACAUUAGAUUCAUGUUAAUCUUUCUGAAAUAGGCCUCAAUAUAAUCAUCUUAUAAAUUAGAGAAACUGAAGUCCAGAGAGCAGAAAGAAGACCCCCACGGCCAUGGUGCUGUGGUACAUUUUUAUGGUUAUUUAUGCCUGACAUGUUAGACGUGAUCAACACUCUCUGAAUGUACAUAGUAAAACACAGAAAGUUUGGUACCACAGAGAUUGUGGCUGUAAGAGUUUUGCUGAGCUGAAUCUUUGCCUGUAUAAGCUGCAACAUUUCCCUAAGCCUAGCCUGGGACCCAGUAUGGCACUUACUAGUUUUCCCUGCUCAGUUGCAGUUGCUCUUGCCUCUGAGAGGUGAUAGUGUGGCAUGUAGAAAGCACAGCAACCUUUUGGUGCUAUGUGUCUAAAGUAGGUGUUGUUUGUUGUUUUGGCCAGGGAGCAAUGCAGCUACUGCUACAAUCUCACGUGACUGCCCGGUUAAGAAUGGCUGAGAUAGCUAGAAGACACUUGUGUAGCUUCACCAUGGGCCUCAUGGUUGCAGUGACUACUCUGGCCAGUGAUCUCCUUUAAGAGUUGUGCUGCCCCUUGGUAGAAGUGACAUAUUCUCUAGGUCCACAUACCCAGGUGGACAGAUUGGAUCUGAGACUGGCAGGGACCCUCCUCCAGGAGCUGCCCUCCUUUCCAGCUGUGGGCACCUAUUUCUGACAAGGCUUUCCUAGGGAGGGAGAGAAUAGAGGACAGUCACUUAGUUGUGGCUGUUUUGGAAGCUCGGGUACAAGAAACUCAAUUUCUGCUUAGUGCAAGCACUGUGCCUAAUGAUGACUACACUCUUCUCAAUGUAUCCACUCAGGAAUGUCUCUAGGUUAGAAGCAGCUGUGCACAUUGUCAUCCAGGUGUGGGAAGCUGAGGCAGGACUGGGUAAAGUUGAAACCCUACAAAGAAAAAUAGUGAGUGUGAAGGGUUGCCCAAAGACACAGUGCUAACUCUGUGGCCUGGGCGGGACUUCCUUUCAGUUCACUUGACUUUUUUUUUUUUUUUUAAAUCUUUAAAAGAAGUCAUUCUCAUAGCAUAUAGGACUCCUUCCACCAAAAGGGAGCCCUCCUAGAAAUGUUUGUUUGUUUGUUUGUUUACUUAUUUUUACAGUGCUGAGGAUUAAACUCAAGCUUCACAUAUACAGGCAGAGCCACAUUCCUAGCCCUUUUACU
rnacentral:lncRNA from 1 species